rnacentral:rRNA from 1 species
GACAGCAGCCGCCGCGGUAAUACAGAGGGUGCGAGCGUUAAUCGGAUUUACUGGGCGUAAAGCGUGCGUAGGCGGCUUCUUAAGUCGGAUGUGAAAUCCCUGAGCUUAACUUAGGAAUUGCAUUCGAUACUGGGAAGCUAGAGUAUGGGAGAGGAUGGUAGAAUUCCAGGUGUAGCGGUGAAAUGCGUAGAGAUCUGGAGGAAUACCGAUGGCGAAGGCAGCCAUCUGGCCUAAUACUGACGCUGAGGUACGAAAGCAUGGGGAGCAAACAGGAUUAGAUACCCGAGUAGUCCCUGUCUCUUAUAC